rnacentral:lncRNA from 1 species
UGGUGACUGGCUGGAUAGUUAGUUACCUUGUUAGGGUUUGUUCUGAUAACCUUUUCUUUGGUGUUCGCUGGUUAGCGUUUGUUAUUGUUGGGAGUCGGAUAUAAGUCCAUGUAUUGGCAUUCUGUUUCCUUUUGUUUGUUGUGGUUAGGAGUCGGGUGUAAGUCCAUGUAUUGGCAUUCUGUUUCCUUUUGUGGGUUAUUGUUAGGAGUCGGAUGUAAGUCCAUGUAUUGGCAUUUUGUUUCCUUUUGUUUG